CCAUCUGGGAAAAGAAUGGCAGUUGGAAUGCCCCCGCAACUGCCUGCCAGUAUCAUUCAGCCCCCUGGUGGGCGAGGGCCAUAUAGCCUGCCAGGAGCAUGAUGCUCAACUGCAGACCAGAUUCCUUAGUUCCCACGCACCACGAAUGGCUGUCCCCUCUCUGCAAAGUAUGACAGAAGGAGCUAUGGACUAGCAUGUCCAGUGAAAUUCAUGUCUGAGACACAGCGCCAUCUUCUUUCAUUCUGAAACCUCUUUCUCGGAUACUGGCUUCUCUGAUAUGUGUAUUCUGACUCCCAAACGUCUUCAUGAUU